rnacentral:rRNA from 1 species
CCUACGGGUGGCAGCAGUGGGGAAUAUUGCACAAUGGGGGAAACCCUGAUGCAGCGACGCCGCGUGCGUGAAGAAGUAUCUCGGUACGGAAAGCUCUAUUAGCAGGGAAGAAAAUGACGGUACCUGACUAAGAAGCCCCGGCUAACUACGUGCCAGCAGCCGCGGUAAUACGUAGGGGGCAAGGGUAAUCCGGAUUUACUGGGUGUAAGGGGGGCGUAGACGGCAGCACAAGUCUGGAGUGAAAUCCCGGGGCUUAACCCGGAACUGCUUUGGAAACUGUGCGGCUGGAGUGCAGGAGGGGUAAGCGGAAUUCCUAGUGUAGCGGUGAAAUGCGUAGAUAUUAGGAGGAACACCGGUGGCGAAGGCGGCUUACUAGACUGUAACUGACGUUGAGGCUCGAAAGCGUGGGGAGCAAACAGGAUUAGAUACCCGUGUAGUC